rnacentral:rRNA from 1 species
AUGAGGAGUAGAGAAACACAGACGCGCACACACAUUAGCAUCUCCGGAUGCAUGCCACCACAAUCAGACAAGAGAGCGGAAGAAACAAAAGCAAUCAAAAGGGACAAGAAACAUGAUCAAGCAGUUUCUCUGCUCAUCGAUCAAACAUUUAUUUGCUUGGAUACAACAAACAUACAAUCAAGCUGCUGCAACAACACGCAGCAAGAGGAGAAAAGGAGUUGCAUCUCCAUGAAUCUCUUCGAACAGCACGAUGGGGGUCGAUUACAACACCUGAGCGAACAACAACGGACACGAAUCAAGAAGUGA